rnacentral:lncRNA from 1 species
GGUUGAAUGACUCGAUAAAAGAAUUUUGGGCCUUUAUGGCCCAUCCGAAAUAUGAAGUGGAGAAAGAUGGAGUCCAAGGGAACUCGGAUGGUAUCACAUGGAAACAAAGUAAAGAAAUAAAUUAGCAGGAGCAAGAAGAAUAUGGCAUUCAGACUAUUAACAACAAUUUAUUGUUCUGGUAAAUGAAAGAUGCAAGCCGGAAUUUACGCUCUACAGUAGCGACACAUAAUGAAUUAGUUGGAUUAUUUAAAAUUACUAAGGCAAGGCAUAAAAGUAAAUACUCAAUGAGCAAGCUAAGAGUAAGACAAAUAUUUAUCUUCCACUUUAAAAGUAAACUCGCCUAAACUUGAACAUUACUCACAAUUAAGUCGAUAAACAUUAAAUGUAUUUGCUUAUGGGGACAAGAAUUAAUUACCGAAGGGAAUUGGAAAGGACGAAAACAAUAAUGUCAUAAAAGAAAUAAAAUAGGAAAACUUAGGCCCUUAAUCACAAAUAUUCAGCUGUAUCUACAUUUAAGCUACGUCUUCACUAGACGAAGGGAGAAAUUAAUUACACUAAGAAAGCAAGCUACAUUAAGCAUGUGAUUUCCUAAUGAACAAAGAAAGGGAAAAAAUCUCAAUUUUAACAUGGAAGAUAACACUCAUAAGGAAACUUU